rnacentral:rRNA from 1 species
UACGUAGGGGGCAAGCGUUGUCCGGAUUUAUUGGGCGUAAAGAGCGUGUAGGCGGCUAGAUAGGUCCGUUGUGAAAACUCGAGGCUCAACCUCGAGACGUCGAUGGAAACCAUCUGGCUAGAGUCCGGUAGGGGAGCAUGGAAUUCCUGGUGUAGCGGUGAAAUGCGCAGAUAUCAGGAGGAACACCAGUGGCGAAGGCGGUGCUCUGGGCCGGAACUGACGCUGAGGAGCGAAAGCGUGGGGAGCAAACAGG